CAAAAUUACUAGUCAAAAAGGAUACACUGGUCAAGUGACUUGUCGAUGCGACCAGGGCGAGAAGAAGACUGAUGUGGUUAAGGAGAAAGAUUACGGCGGAUGUUGCAGCAAAAA